rnacentral:misc_RNA from 1 species
ACUAGGCUGACCAAUCAAAGCAUAUUGAUAAUCAUCAUCAAUAUAUAAAACCCAAUAAUCACCAACAAUAGGAAUAAUUGGCAAGAAAGGUGGGAUAUAAAAUUUCACUUUAAGUUUUGCUUCAUCACUUUUUGGAUCAGCUUUAUAGGCAGUCCCUUCAAUUGAACCUCUUUUACCACCACUCCAUGUUUCAUUUAACACAUGUACUGUUCCAUCUUGGUUUAAAGUGUAAGUGGCUCUUGUGUUUACACCAUCUUUUGGUUGAUUUCUUGAUGGAAAUGAGGCAAUUUCAUACCAUCUUCCCAUGUAUUUUUCAACAUCCAAAUUCUUCACUACUUCCAUCUCUUUUGUGGUCAUAUUUUUUUGCAAAAUUUCAAAGUGUAGUAUAAGGGUUUUGGU